rnacentral:rRNA from 1 species
AUUGAACGCUUGCGGCAGGCCUAACACAUGCAAGUCGAACGAGUGGCGGACGGGUGGGUAAUGUCUGGGAAACUGCCUGAUGGAGGGGGAUAACUACUGGAAACGGUAGCUAAUAACGCUUAACAUCAGAUGUGCCCAGAUGGGAUUAGCUUGUUGGGGGGGUAACGGCUCACAAAGGCGACGCUCCCUAGCUGGUCUGAGAGGAUGACCAGCCACACUGGAACUGAGACACGGUCCAGAGUCCUACGGGAGGCAGCAGUGGGGAAUAUUGAACAAUGGGCGCAAGCCUGAUGCAGCCAUGCCGCGUGUAUGAAGAAGGCCGUCGGGUUGUAAAGUACUUUUAGCGGAGAGGCGUUACCCGCAGAAGAAGCACCGGCUAACUCCGUGACAGCAGCCGCGGUAAUAC